AACCGGAUUAGAUACCCUGGUAGUCCACGCCGUAAACGAUGUCGACUUGGAGGUUGUUCCCUUGAGGAGUGGCUUCCGGAGCUAACGCGUUAAGUCGACCGCCUGGGGAGUACGGCCGCAAGGUUAAAACUCAAAUGAAUUGACGGGGGCCCGCACAAGCGGUGGAGCAUGUGGUUUAAUUCGAUGCAACGCGAAGAACCUUACCUACUCUUGACAUCCAGCGAACUUUCCAGAGAUGGAUUGGUGCCUUCGGGAACGCUGAGACAGGUGCUGCAUGGCUGUCGUCAGCUCGUGUUGUGAAAUGUUGGGUUAAGUCCCGCAACGAGCGCAACCCUUAUCCUUUGUUGCCAGCGAUUCGGUCGGGAACUCAAAGGAGACUGCCGGUGAUAAACCGGAGGAAGGUGGGGAUGACGUCAAGUCAUCAUGGCCCUUACGAGUAGGGCUACACACGUGCUACAAUGGCGCAUACAAAGAGAAGCGACCUCGCGAGAGCAAGCGGACCUCACAAAGUGCGUCGUAGUCCGGAUCGGAGUA
rnacentral:rRNA from 1 species